rnacentral:RNase_P_RNA from 1 species
GGAGGUGGUAAGCUUAUGUGUACGGGCAAACGCACGAAAAAAAAAUAAAGUCAUGUAUUUGGCUUUUUUUUAUUUUUAUUUUAUACCCGUGGGAAGGUCUGAGGAAAGCCAUGAUGCUCUUACCGAGUAACUCGUUUAUUUACGAGUGUGAGUAACCAGAAACAAAUGGUAGGGGAUUAGGCUUGUUCGUUGACGGAUACCCUUCAAGGUAUUCUGAGGAUUGCCCUUUUCUCCUUUUAUUGAAAUGCUUGCGGGUUUUAGUACUAUGCAGUGCAAUACAUAAGGCUGGCAUUGCCAGUAACUCGAUUCAGACUACUCUUCCCCCUCC